rnacentral:rRNA from 1 species
CGAAAGCCUGACGGAGCAAGACCGCGUGGGGGAGGAAGGCUCUUGGGUUGUAAACCCCUUUUCUCAGGGAAGAACAAAUGACGGUACCUGAGGAAUCAGCCUCGGCUAACUCCGUGCCAGCAGCCGCGGUAAUACGGAGGAGGCAAGCGUUAUCCGGAAUUAUUGGGCGUAAAGAGUCCGUAGGUGGUGGGGCAAGUCGGCGGUUAAAGACUGGGGCUUAACUCCGUAAAGGCAGUGGAAACUGAAUAGCUAGAGUGCCGUAGGGGUAGAGGGAAUUCCCGGUGUAGCGGUGAAAUGCGUAGAGAUCGGGAAGAACAUCGGUGGCGAAAGCGCUCUACUGGACGGCAACUGACACUCAGGGACGAAAGCUAGGGGAGCG